CCCGUUACUUCACAAUACCAUUUUUCAUUGAGCUCCAUGCUGUGGCCCUGGUGGAACAGUUACAUACUUUUUCCUUGGAAGCAGUGACUGAUGUGACACUUGAUGGCAAUGAGACCAUGUGCAACGCUUCUAGAUUUUGGGGCUUCAUACUGGUCUGCCAGUCACAAUCUGAGCUUGAAAUCCAGUUAAAGAUAAACUACACUGAUGACUACGAUCCCGUCCUGCGUACUAACCUCUCUUUUCAGA